CCUACGGGUGGCAGCAGUGGGGGAUAUUGCACAAUGGGGGGAACCCUGAUGCAGCGACGCCGCGUGGGUGAAGAAGCGCCUCGGCGCGUAAAGCCCUGUCAGCAGGGAAGAAAAUGACGGUACCUGAAGAAGAAGCCCCGUCUAACGACGGGCAAGCAGCCGCGGUAAUACGUAGGGGGCAAGCGUUAUACGGAUUUACGGGGGGUAAAGGGGGCGCAGGCGGCGAAGCAAGCCAGGAGUGAAAGCCCGGGGCCCAACCCCGGGACUGCUCUUGGAACUGCGGGGCUGGAGUGCAGGAGGGGCGGGCGGAAUUCGUGGUGUAGCGGUGAAAUGCGUAGAUAUCAGGAAGAACGCCGGUGGCGAAGGCAGCCUGCUGGACUGCAACUGACGUUGAGGCCCGAAAGCGUGGGGAGCAAACAGGAUUAGAUACCCUGGUAGUC
rnacentral:rRNA from 1 species